ensembl:misc_RNA 7SK 7SK RNA
GUGAAAGGAGGGGAACAAGUAUCUCUCAGAAUAUCUUCAUUCCUGCCAAGAUGGUUAUAGCUCCUCCUUCACCACUACAUGAACAUCAUUCCCAAAGUUUGUGCUCCAUCAAAGAGAACAACCUUCUCCAAUAGAGACAACAUUCUUCAGUGGAAGGUAUAUGAACAGCUGUAAUACUAUGCCAGACAGAACCGCCAAAACAUGAUCUCAAUGUCCUUCUGCAAUAACAUAGAGUAGCCAAGCUUCCCAGACUCUAGACACAUAUAAAUCAGAUAUUGCAUGUAGCAAUCUAUAUUU